CUACGGGGUGCUGCAGUAGGGAAUAUUGCGCAAUGGGGGAAACCCUGACGCAGCAACGCCGUGUGAAGGAUGACGGCCCUAGGGUUGUAAACUUCUGUCUAGAGGGAAGAAGUUCUGACGGUACCUCUAAAGAAAGCACCGGCUAACUCCGUGCCAGCAGCCGCGGUAAUACGGAGGGUGCAAGCGUUAUUCGGAAUUACUAGGUGUAAAGGGCGUGUAGGCGGUUUGUUAAGUUAGAUGUGAAAUCUUACAGCUCAACUGUAUGCCUGCAUUUAAAACUGACGGACUAGAGUAUUAAAGGGGAGAACGGAAUUUCUAGUGUAGCGGUGGAAUGUGUAGAUACUAGAAGGAACACCAAUGGCGAAAGCAGUUCUCUGGUUGAAUACUGACGCUAAGGCGCGAAAGCUAGGGGAGCAAACAGGAUUAGAUACCCUCGUAGUC
rnacentral:rRNA from 1 species